GUUUUUUGAUUCUCAAAGUGAGGUCUGGGAACCCCCAAGGUUCCUUGGCACUCUGCCAGGGGUUCCGUGAUUUGUUUUAAUUUUUUAGAUUCAUUCAAGUUAUGGUUAUUUCAUUUUUUUACAAAAAGCUUCAUAGUUCAACAAAAAAUAUUAAAAUGUUUAAAUCUAAAAUAGUUAAUGGAUGACUUUCUGAUCUAACAAAUCUAUAACUCUCAGAAUCCGUAAAUAUAUUUAAUACAUGUCCAAUAGCGUUCUAUUUCAUUUUUCUUGUGUUGUUCUUUCACAUAAUAUAAGACUAUAAUAUACAUGAGGGGGUCCCUGGUCUCUAUCCUUUAAGGAGUCCUUGGCUGAAUAAAAAUGGACAACCUCUGCUGUA